UGGGGAAUAUUGGACAAUGGGCGAAAGCCUGAUCCAGCCAUGCCGCGUGUGUGAAGAAGGUCUUCGGAUUGUAAAGCACUUUAAGUUGGGAGGAAGGGCAGUAAGCGAAUACCUUGCUGUUUUGACGUUACCGACAGAAUAAGCACCGGCUAACUCUGUGCCAGCAGCCGCGGUAAUACAGAGGGUGCAAGCGUUAAUCGGAAUUACUGGGCGUAAAGCGCGCGUAGGUGGUUCGUUAAGUUGAAUGUGAAAGCCCCGGGCUCAACCUGGGAACUGCAUCCAAAACUGGCGAGCUAGAGUAGGGCAGAGGGUGGUGGAAUUUCCUGUGUAGCGGUGAAAUGCGUAGAUAUAGGAAGGAACACCAGUGGCGAAGGGGACCACCUGGGCUCAUACUGACACUGAGGUGCGAAAGCGUGGGGAGCAAACAGG
rnacentral:rRNA from 1 species